CUUUUUGUUUAACCAGCUCAUAUGGGCAUUAGAAUUUGAUAAUCCAGGUUGACAACCAUGCUUCAACAUAUGUUCACGGAUCUUAAAGGCGUCAUCUUCUCUGUUAGCCCUAUAAAGUCCAUCAACAAGUGUCCCAUAAGUAAUAGAAUCAGGUGAGAUCCCCUUUAGUUGCAGCUCCUUGAAAAGCUUGAUAGCAGCGUUGAUAUUACCAGUUUUGCAAAAACCAUUGAUUAAAAUGUUGUAUGUGAUAAUGUUAGGCACAACCCCACUCCCAGCAAGUUGUUUGAGAAGCUUGUAAGCAUUCAAAACUUCACCAGCCUCGCACAUUUGCUCCACCUUUUUCUGGAGACUAACACUAUCAAAAACCCUGUCAGAACCCUGAGAAAGCCGGAAAAACAAAGAUGGGCUUCUCCCAAUCUCCAUCUCGUGCAGUAAAAGGUGUGCUUCCUCAAUUCUGCGAGCCUUGCAAAGGCCAUGCAUCAGAGCACUGAAGGUCACAACUGAAGGGAGACAUCCAAGUUUUUCCAUCUGAUUAAAUAUCUCCCGUGCCUCUCCAACCAUUCCAUUCCUACACAUGCCAUAGAUGAGAAUGGUGUAGGUGUAAGCAUUAUGAAAUUGUUCGUCCUUGGAAACCUCAAGCUGAAGAGAUCUAGCUUGGUCCAAACGACCUAUGUCACAAAAACCUUUGAUUAAUGCAUUGUAACAAUAGGCGUCUGUCAUCUAACAUCUUUGCAGCUUCACCAACCCUAUCCUCUUUGGACAAACCACGUAUCAUGAUAGCAUAUAAAGUAACAUCCGGCACAAUUCCCCUCUUAAACAUCUUGGUGUACCAUACAUAUGCCUCACUAUAUCUCUUGGCGUGAAUGAAGCUAUUUAUCAGAGAACAGUAACUUUGCAGAUUAAGAGCAAAAUCAUCUAUCCUCAACAAAGACAGCAAAGAAAGUGCUUCAUCUGUCCUUCCGUUCUUGCAAAACCCAUCAAUCAAGACAUUAUAACAGCGCAAAGUAGGCAAGCACCCAUUUUUUUUCAUAGUGUUAAACAACCUAAACGCCUCAUCAACCUUCUUCCACUGACAGAGGCCAUAAAUAAUAGCCGUAUACAUCUUAACAUCAGGCAGCACACCCUUCUUGCUCAUAUCAUCGAGCAUCUCGAGGACAGCGUUGAAGUUUUCAAUCUUACAGAAUCCACCAAUCUAGAGAGUGUACGUGUGGUCAUCUGGCAAAGAAUUAGACCUAAGCAUAACAUUAUAGAGCGAAAAAGCCAACACAAACAAGUCUUUCUUGAGCACAACCUUCAAGAUAGUGUUAUAGGCGUGAGCACUGGGCUCACAGUCGAACUUAGACAUUCUAUCAAAACACUUAAUGGCUUAUUCAACAAGACCCAUAUAGGAAUAGGUCCUUAUGAGGGCUCUAACAGAUUCAGAACUUAUGAAAAUCCCAGAUUUAUUCAGAAGCUGGAGCGCGUCCCAGUAAAGGGAGCACCACUCCUUAGUGGCGAGAGUGCAACUUACCUCGUUACGGGAAUGCUGAUCCACGAGGCUCUCGAACUUGAGCGCGACCCACACGCAAAAACGGAGAGGGAGUCCGCGGUUACGAUUAGGGAGAUCUCGCGUGACGACGACGGCGUCUGCGUCAGCGGAAGAGUGGUGCUGCAAUCGGCGAGGGAGGAACCUUGUGAGCAGUCCGGAAGCAUUGUGGAAAUGGACUCGUUUCCACAACAGCAUAGAGGGAUCGGGGUGAUGAUGGUGGCAGCGGGGUGCUAUCUUGUGGCGUUUGGGGAAGAGGGCAAUAGGUGAGACCUAAAAACAGAGUAAAGAGUAAUAAACUUAUAAGUUAUAACGAAUAUCAGAGAGGCUUUUUUAAAUCUCUUUUUGAGGGGGCCGAUAGAUGAAAAUGUCCAUAAGACUAAUUUAAUAUUACUAACCACUCAAAUAUAAAAAGAUUAUUCCUACCAAGUCAUUAUAAAAAAGAUUUUUUUUUUUUUGUGCCAAUGAAGAUAACUAGUUAUCUACAAGUGUACAACUAUCAUAAACUUCAUAAAAGAUAAUAAAUUUUAGAUAAUAGGUAAGAGAUUUUAAAUUCAAAUUUUAUUGCUAGUUUAUUCUAAGAAAAAUAAUUUUACAAUAAACUGCUAUUUUUAUAUAAUUUAAAUUAAAUAUUAAUUUUUAAUAAAUUAGACACAAAAAUUUAAAUACCAUAACCAUCACGAAAAAAAAGUUCACAAUAUUACUAUGUUCGGUGGAUAUGGCCUCGAAUUCCUUACUUUUGUGCCCCUCAUUUCAUAUAUUAUUAUAUUAUAUGCAUACAUAAACUAAUGAAUGAGCUAAUUAAUUCACCUCAUACCUUCAUGUAUUUUAUGUCCAUUUUAUAUAGUUAUACGGGCACACUCUUUGUUGAGAAAAAGGCACUCAUAAAUAGUUAAAUUAUCAUUAAUGAUUAUUUAGUGUUCUGUUAAUUUGUAAUUAUUAUACAAAUGGAAAUUUAAAAAUGGUCACUAAUUUUAAUUGCUACGUGAAUCUAAACCACACCCAAGAUUAAAAAAAAAAGUUUCAUGAUAGGUUGAUGUACAAAUGCAAUGAUAGAAUUAUGAAUUGAAUAAUAAAAUUGAAGAAAAUUACUCUUGGCUUUAUAUAGUCUUAUUUUCUUAGAUAAGGUUGAAAAAAAAUAUAUAAAAAUGAAGGUAUUAGCCGCAUAUUCUAAUUUCAAGGGGAUAUCCUUGAUGGAACAUUUUAGAUUGUUACAACAAUCACAAUCAUAUGUAAUGGUGAAUAUUAUCAUAAAUUAAGCAACUUAGGAAAAAAGAAGGAAGAAGUAACAAGAUGAAACCUUUACUACAAUUUAUUGAAACUUUUUUCAAUAUCAAAUUAUCAAUGUAAUGGCAUAGGAGUUACAUUAAUUAAUCCUAUGCAUUUUUAUCAACAUAAACAUAGAAGAUUCUCGAAACAACCUAUCUAGAUAUUACUAUUUUAUAUGAUAUAUGUAUGCAUAAGAUGUAAAUAACUUUUAAAUAUUCAUUUUAGCCAAAAUAGGAUCUAACCAUAGGUUUUUUGGAACAAGUAUAUAUGAAGUGCCUUUUGAAUAGUUAAUAUUAGUUAAAUUUUUUUAGAAGAAUUAAAAUUUAAGAUUUAAUGUUUAUNNNNNNNNNNNNNNNNNNNNNNNNNNNNNNNNNNNNNNNNNNNNNNNNNNNNNNNNNNNNNNNNNNNNNNNNNNNNNNNNNNNNNNNNNNNNNNNNNNNNNNNNNNNNNNNNNNNNNNNNNNNNNNNNNNNNNNNNNNNNNNNNNNNNNNNNNNNNNNNNNNNUUGUGGACAAAAGAGCUGAAUUCAUUGAUAUAUAUAUUAUUCUUUUAUUUUGGGGCUCUUUAUUUGUUUUAUGGUGUUAUAGGGCUCUUUAGUUUUUUACAGAGAUUUAAGGCUCUUCAUUUUAUUGUAAAUCAUACUCUAUAUUCAUAUUUUGGUAUGGGUUUUAUAUUUUCACAUCCAUUGGGCCUGGUAUAAGCCCCACCCAAUUGAUUUUUUUUUUUGCAAGUAAAAGUGAAACCGAUUGAUUUUAAUUAGUUUGUUAUGAAUUAUUAUUUGAAUUUGGUAUGUUCUUAUAGUUUUUUAAUCAAUCUAUGAGAAUUGCAGCUGACCCGCAAUAAUAAUAAGGCGAAUUCUUCGGUAUAGACAGGAAAACAAAUUUAUACAUGUUGAUUUGUGUUGUUUGAAUUUUAAAGUGACAAAUGUCUAUUGAAUAGGUAAAGUAAAUGGGACAAAUUCUGUGACUGUUUUGUACUUGCAUGAGUGGUUAUCAGGGAGGUGUUACUUUUUGAGAUUAAUAGAAAAGUUAUUAGACUAAUUAGAAAUAGUGCAAUUAGGAAGUAAUUGGGCCUAUUCACUUUAUAUUGUAUUAGGUAUUUUAUUGGGCCUAUAAAAAAAAGAAUAAUUUAAAACAACUUGAACAGACUUUUUAUAAGAUAAAAAUCAAAACACAAAUAUAAUGAUUAAUAAUAUCAAAUAAAAAAUAUUUAUCGAAAAAAAAAUAUCAAAUAAAAAUAAAUUAAUAUAGAAUAAUUAAUUAUCCUGAUAGAUUAUUGUUAUUUUAUAUGCAGUCAAUUGAAAAUAAAAAUUUAUAAAAAAUUUACUUAUAUCCCUAAUUAAGAAAAGAUGUUAAUAAUAUAAGUAUUUAUAAGUAAUUAUUUCCUGCCCUAACUAAUUCUUAUGCAAUGUUUUUUACAUAUUCUCUCAUUUAUAUAUAUAUUAUCAUAAAUUUCAAAUACAUACCGUAACAAAUUAUUAUUAAUAUAUUCGGUUAAGAUAUACAAUUUGUUAGAAUUUAUCAUUGUAGCAUAUCAUUUUUUACUUUUUUUUUCAAAUAAAUAUUAAUAAUAGAUCCUUAUUAUUCUUUCACGUUGUGAGUGAAGUUGCGAGUGAAUUAUAAUCUAUCAGGAUAAUUAAUUAUUUUAUAUUAAUUUAUUUUUGUUUAGUUUUUUAUUUGAUAUGAUUAAUCAUUAUAUAUGUGUUUUGAUUUUCAUCUUACAAAAGGCCUAAGAGAUAUUGUUUAAAUUGUUUUAAAUUAUUCUUCUUUUUAUAGGCCCAAUAAAAUACCCAACAUAAUAUAAAGUGAAUAAGCCCAACUACUUUCUAAUUGCACUAUUUCUAAUUAGUCUAAUAAGUUAUAACUUUUCUAUUAAUCUCAAAAAGUAACACCCCCUUUUUUCUGAUAACCACUCGUGCAACCAUGCAAGUACUCCUGCAACUGAAGCAGCUGCAGAAUUUGUCCCAUUUACUUUACCCAUUCAAUAAACACUUGUCACUUUAAAAUUCAAACAGCACAAUACUAUAUGUGUAGAUUUGUCCCCCUGUCUAUACCAGAGAAUUCGCCUAAUAAUAAUAAUAAUAAAAUUAUGAGAAUCAGAAUGCAAAGAGAGUAAACAUAUGCGGUGCAAUGGAGGAAGUAAAGAGAAUCACAAUUGCGAUCCACUUCUCUGCACAAAGGCAUGAAAAGUAACUGAACAUAACAACAAUGAAUAAUACACAGAAAAUGAGAGAGAACAAGCAUGAAGUGCUGACAUCUUCUUUAAUUAACAUCACAAGUUAUAUUCACCCCUUUAGUUGUAUUCUUGCACUAUAUGUGCUCAUUAUAUAUAUAUAUAUACAUCAAACAAAUUUACCGUCACUUAUUUUUUUUAGUUUUCAGUAUUUUUUAAUCUAAAAAUCCAAGAAUUAAUUUGUUGUAAUUCUGAGUUUCAUUUGAUAAUUAAUAGUUAUUAUUGACCAAUGAGUUGUUAUAUAUAAAGAUAGAAUUAAAACUUCUAACAUUUAACAAAUUUGAGUUGGUCAAGUGACUAGCUUACUUUUAGCAUUUAAAUGUAGUAAGUCCAAAUUGAAAUUUACAACAUAAGGGUAGCAGAGCAUGGAAUAUAGCAUGCCUGUUAAUUUCACAAAAAAAAUAACAGAAUAGCUCAAGAACGUGGACUUAAAAUCACAUGGCACACAUUCUAUGUAUAAGAAGCAUAACCCAACAUAUGGAAACAGAGAAGAGUGGAAGAUAGUUGAAGUCCAAUUCGAAGAAUGGUCAGCAAGAAAGACAUCAUGGUACCUUAUAAUGCUAUACCUGGAUUAAUUCAACAGGUAAUCAUGUUUAGUAAAAACUUGAUAUCAUGCACAAGGACAAACAAGAACAUCAACUUUUCAUAUUGAUUUUGCCAAUCACUGUGGACAAGUGAACAUGUGUUUAGUGAAGCUUUGCUGCAUAUCCAACUGCCACAUCUUAGCCUGAAGGUAGUUCCAGCAACUAAGUAACUAUAAACAUAUAGCUCCGACCAGGCUGAAAAAUUAUGAUAUUGACCUUUUAGAAAGAGUAAUGUUAUAUAGCAAGCCAUUCCACCCCAACCAAACUAAACACACCAUUAGAGUCAGCAUAGUGUACCUAUGAAAUAGUGGGGAAGAAAAAUUCACAUAUGAGCUUGAAGAAACUCUGUUUCCCAAUUUGGGGAAGUUCCAAACUGACCCUCAUAAGAUUUAAACUAGGAAUAAAUUAGCUUCUUAAAAAAAGAGAGAGAAAGAAACUAAGAAUAAAUUAGAAACUCAACUUAUUAUCUAAUCAAUCAUAAGAAUUCCUUUCGACAUUAUAACAACACGAAAGCUUUGUCCAUUAGCUGAGACUGGCUAGAUCAUAUGAACGGAAUAGUGCCCUAUCGCAAACUAUGCUAAUAGUCUAACCAUUUAAGUCUAAAUAAUUUUUUUAACGGUUCUUGCAUAGUAUUUCUUGGUCUCCUUUUACCUUUAGCUACUGAGCUACCCUAUAUGCACAUGAUCAAGCCACUCAUCACAAGAUAAAGAAUAAUAUCCAUCUUGAAUAGUCGGAGUUAUUCAAUCAUUUAAAAUAGUGCAUUUUAUUGCUCCUCCUUCUCCUUAGCCGUCGAAUAACGUACAUUGCUUUGUCAUACUGAUGUGAAUUCAAACAGUAUCCAUGGGACUGCAUCCUGUCAACAAGAUCAAUAGCAUAAUCCUUUUUAUCUAUCGAAAGAAGGAGACAUUUGAGGAGCUUGUUACAAAUUCUUGGCCUCAACAUGAAACUUUUUUCUAGGGUGUAGAGGAAUAUGUUUACUGCAUCAUCCAGCUUCCCUUCCUCACAGAGAAUAUCAAUCAAAUGUACACAACUUGUAGGAUUUAUAUUAAUAUUGAACUCACCAAGAACAGAAAAUAUAGCUAAUGCUUCAUCUACCUUUUUUGCCAUACAGAACCCAGUAAUUAGAAUUGUGUAUGGAGCUAAAUUAAAAUCUCUACAUUUGAAGUCCAUUUCCAGUAAGCCUCGAAUUACUUCUUUCACAUUUCCUCUGAUAAAAUGGUUCUCCAACAUGUUGAUUGAAUCAUUAUCCCACUUCAGAAGGCUUUUCAGAUAUUCAAAGUAAAUAUUGAAGGCCAUCGAGACCUUCCCCUUUUUGUUUAACCAGCUCAUAUGGGCAUUAGAAUUUGAUAAUCCAGGUUGACAACCAUGCUUCAACAUAUGUUCACGGAUCUUAAAGGCGUCAUCUUCUCUGUUAGCCCUAUAAAGUCCAUCAACAAGUGUCCCAUAAGUAAUAGAAUCAGGUGAGAUCCCCUUUAGUUGCAGCUCCUUGAAAAGCUUGAUAGCAGCGUUGAUAUUACCAGUUUUGCAAAAACCAUUGAUUAAAAUGUUGUAUGUGAUAAUGUUAGGCACAACCCCACUCCCAGCAAGUUGUUUGAGAAG
rnacentral:lncRNA from 1 species